CUAGUCAGUAAGGUGCUGGGCACCCCAGAGCGACUUUACCGCAUCCUGAUUGGUGUCCCCGGGGGCGGGGGAGGGGCUGGCUUGAGCCACUACCGAGGAACGCGGAGAGCUUGGCAAGAGAACAAACCUCCUCUGGCCUCCAGACACACAGUGACGUCACUGACUGACCCCUUCUUGGUGUUUCUCCUCCCCCCAUGGAGGUGAUGUCAACAGUGGCCCUUCCCAGCCUGGAAGACAGGACUGGUUGCGUGGAAGGGUAAGGUAAGGAUCGAAAAAAUGUUCUCCACAAACUAAACAAAGUUGGAUUGGGAAAUGCAGCGUGGUACCAUGGGGGCCUGAUUCGGCCAUGACCCGCCUGCCCGCAGGCGCCGACCUCAGAUGCUCAGAGCGGCCAGGGGAGAGAAGGGACACUUUGACUUUUCAAGAUCUAAGAGUUAUGGUUCCCUUUUGGCAAAAUGCUUUUGUCCUGUGAUACACUUGCGUCCUUUGUAGUAGCACCGAUUGUGGCCUUGGCAGUCCAGAUUGAAGUGAUUUUUAAGUGAAUACAGAAAGCAGCCUCACCCACACCCUCCUCUGUCAGGAAUGAAGCAUCUAUGAUGGAAAAUACCUGCAGCCUGGGAGAAAAUUUACUGCAACAGCUCCAUUGCACAUUGUGGGGUCAUAUUUUUACUGAUGUGAAAUUCUUGCUCUCUACUGUGCAAUUUUUGUUAACCACUGAAUCUAAAUCUUGUCGGGUCUUGUGCUUGCAAACCCCUGUAAUUAGUAUGAUAUCCUAGAUUGUUU
ensembl:lncRNA